AGAAUUUGAUCUUGGUUCAGACUGAACGCUGACGGCGUGGAUGAGACAUGCAAGUUGCACGGAUAGUGGAGCAAUCCAUUAUGAGUGGCGAAAGGGUUAGUAAUAGAUGGGUAAUAUACCCUCAACCUGGGGUUAACGAUUGGAAACGAUCGCUAAUACCGAAUGAAGUCUAAGGUGGCAUCAUUGAAGGAUUAAAGUAGGGGACCUAGAAAUAGGCCUUGCGGUUGAGGAGUAGCCCAUGAAGUAUCAGCUAGUUGGUAGUGUAACGGACUACCAAGGCUAAGACGCUUAGGCGAUUGAGAGAUUGACCGCCAACACUGGGACUGAGACACUGCCCAGACUCCUACGGGAGGCAGUAGUCGAGAAUAUUUCGCAAUGGGCGAAAGCCCGACGAAGCGACGCCGUGUGGAUGAAGAAGGCCUUCGGGUUGUAAAAUCCUGUCACUUGGGAGCAAAUAGUUGGUGUGAAUAACACUAGUUAGUGAGAGUACCAAGGGAGGAAGCACUGGCUAACUCCGUGCCAGCAGCUGCGGUAAUACGGAGGGUGCAAGCGUUAGUCGGAAUAACUGGGCGUAAAGGGUGCGUAGGCGGGCAUAUAAGUUAGGUGUGAAAUUACCGGGCUCAACUUGGUAACGGCACUUAAUACUGUAUGUCUAGAGGAAUGGUGGGGAAAACGGAAUUCCAUGUGUAGCGGUGAAAUGCGUAGAUAUAUGGAAGAACACCUGUGGCGAAAGCGGUUUUCUAACCUACUCCAGACGCUGAGGCACGAAAGCAAGGGGAUCAAACAGGAUUAGAUACCCUGGUAGUCCUUGCCUUAAACAAUGUAUACUUGGCGUAGUUGGACUCAACCCCGACUGUGCCGAAGCAAACGCGAAGAACCUUACCUGGGUUUGACAUGCAUUUGACGAUGUUAGAGAUAACAUUUUCCCGCAAGGGACAGAUGCACAGGUGCUGCAUGGCUGUCGUCAGCUCGUGCCGUGAGGUGUUUGGUUAAGUCCAGCAACGAGCGCAACCCUUGUCGUUAGUUGCCAGCGCGUAAUGGCGGGCACUCUAGCGAGACUGCCUGGGUUAACCAGGAGGAAGGUGAGGAUGACGUCAAGUCCGCAUGGCCUUUAUGCCCAGGGCUACGCACGUGCUACAAUGGUCGGUACAGAAGGCAGCGAAGCCGCGAGGCGGAGCAAAUCCCCAAAGCCGACCCCAGUUCAGAUUGGAGUCUGCAACUCGACUCCAUGAAGCCGGAAUUGCUAGUAAUGGUGGGUCAGCAACACCACCGUGAAUACGUUCCCGGGUCUUGUACACACCGCCCGUC
rnacentral:rRNA from 1 species